rnacentral:rRNA from 1 species
CCUACGGGAGGCAGCAGUGAGGAAUAUUGGUCAAUGGUCGGGAGACUGAACCAGCCAAGCCGCGUGAGGGAGGAAGGUACAGAGUAUCGUAAACCUCUUUUGUCAGGGAACAAAGACUGGGACGCGUCCCCGGAUGAGUGUACCUGAAGAAAAAGCAUCGGCUAACUCCGUGCCAGCAGCCGCGGUAAUACGGAGGAUGCGAGCGUUAUCCGGAUUUAUUGGGUUUAAAGGGUGCGCAGGCGGUCUGUUAAGUCAGCGGUCAAAGCCCGGGGCUCAACCCCGGCACGCCGUUGAAACUGGCAGUCUCGAGUUGGAGAGAAGUAUGCGGAAUGCGCGGUGUAGCGGUGAAAGGCAUAGAUAUCGCGCAGAACUCCGAUUGCGAAGGCAGCAUGCCGGCUCCACACUGACGCUGAGGCACGAAAGCGUGGGUAUCGAACAGGAUUAGAUACCCCUGUAGUC